ACUAUAGGUUCUCACACCGUCAAAUAAUCAUUAUAAACUUGCACCAACAAUGUUGUCAAUAAGCACAGCAACAUAAUCACACUUUAGCACAAAAUCAAUAACAAAACAAAUAGGCUUAGGUCAGUUUUGUAGCUACUAUGAUCCCUAUGAACCGAGUGUAGAAAAGGUAUUCUACAAGGUCUCAAGCCUGGCAAAUAUUCUCCUAUACUUGGUUUAUCUUCUCAAAGAAAACUUAGAGGUUGAGCACUUCGUUAUGAAUUAAAUUUUAGGCCCAAAAUUUGUUCUAAACCAAUUUCUGCACAAACUCUGCAACUAGGGACUGAAAUCUAAAUUCACAGUUGCACUGUUUUGUACUCGAGACCCUCAGUCAUAUUUCAUGAUAAUAUACAUGCUCAAACAGAAAUCUCAUCAAUGAUAGCAAGGUAAUGUCUUCUUAGUUGAAAUCACAGUAAACAGUCCUGAAACCCUAAUAAGUGAGGUUUAAUAGGUUAACCAGAAAGAUAAUCAGUUUUCUGGUAAAUGUUGAGUUUCAAUAGCCUUUAAUCAGUAAUGGAAACUUGCUAGGAUGAAUAACAUGCAGCUCAUACCAAGAUACAAAUAAUAUAAACUCAGAUUAAGUGAGAAAACCAGAAAAAUAGGUGUAAUGAAGGUGUGAGAUGUAAAAUCUUACUUCAGCUCACUUUGGUACAAGAGAGCACAUUCUGCCAAUGUAAAAACCACAACCACACAUGCUUGAACCUUGUUUUAACACCAGAGGUAGCCACAACUUGAUUUCACCUUCAGCAACCUUAGAUUUACACCAUAAAAUUAACUUCACAGGUACAUUUUAUAGUUCAGUGGAUCAGUACACUCUUCAUGCUAAUUUCAGAGAUUAAAAAUAGGAUUGUUCAUGAACUUCCAUAAAUGCCCUUCAAUUGUCACUUGUUGUGUAUACAGGAGAAAUACUAAUUUUUAGCAUAAUUGACACAAUGCACCUUCAUAGAAGUGAUUUAAAUUAGCUCUGCUAACUGAAAUACCCUUGAUACCCUUGAGGUUGUAGGCAAAAUGACUGAAAUACCCUUGUUAAGACAACAUGUUACUUGGACCAAAACAGGUAGCAGCAACCUUUUGUAAAUUCAGAUUAUUAUUGUGCUUGACUAUGGAUAUCUGAACCACCACUUCUCUAUCACCUAGUUGACUUGCCGAGACAACAGAUAGAGAGUUUUGAAUAUUCUCCACUACUUAUCCUUCAUUUUCAAUACUAUUUCUAUCUUCUUGCCUAGACAGCAUUGACAAAAGCUCUUCCUUCUUGUGAAGCAGUCUCUUUACUUCCUUUUGUAGCUCUGGUAUGUAUUUUAUCACACGUGACAGUGUUUGUGGAAUGCUUAAUUUUUUAUGCAACAAAAUAUGAACACCAUAUAUGAAUAAACUAUAUAAAUAUCUGUGUAAUGUAUUGUUUAUUGUACAAAAAAUGUUUCACACCAAUACUGGCUUAAUAUAUUUACAUUUCUGGAUCAUAUAUAUCGCAAAAUAUUUGUUCAAAAUGAAACUAAAAUCUUAAGCUUUGUUGUUAAUUAUGUCAGUGAAACAAUUCUUUCCAUAUACGGUACUAUCGUAUCUCGCCAUGAGAUUCAUAGUGUCUUCGCUGCUAACUGGGUGUCCAACAAUGUAAUAAAUUACUUUGGGAAUAUGUUAAAUAAGAAGCAAGGAUCCAAGGGGGACAGGUACUACUUUAGUAAUAAAGCCAUGCAGUUAAUCAGUGAAUUCAAGGUAAGAGAAUUAAAGAAAAAACCUGAACGCAUCAGCCGCCUUAAAGAAGUGUGGGAAAAAUUCAAGAAGCAUGGUGAGUACUGUUUUCUACCUGAUAUAGACACAGCAAAACUGUUAUUUUUCCCUGCAUGCAUAGAAAGAUAUUGGUUACUGUUUCUUGUCAACCGUCCGAAGAAGAUGGUUGAUUACCUUUGUUCAUUGGGAAAGCUCCAUAAAUAUAUGGAUUAUGUUAAAGUGUUAGUACGUAUAUUUAGUUUGUCUUGAUGUAAUUGAUUAGGAGUGAAUAUUUAUCAUUUUCAACAUAUUGGUAUGUACAACAGAAAGAGUUUAUUGGGAUUAUGUUUGAGGAAGAUUUCACAGAAUUUCUGCCCAACACACCAAGGGUAAUAUCCAGACAACCA